rnacentral:rRNA from 1 species
CCUACGGGUGGCAGCAGUGGGGAAUAUUGGACAAUGGGGGCAACCCUGAUCCAGCCAUGCCGCGUGUGUGAAGAAGGCCCUCGGGUUGUAAAGCACUUUCAGUGAGGAAGAACGCCUGGUGGUUAAUACCCAUCAGGAAAGACAUCACUCACAGAAGAAGCACCGGCUAACUCCGUGCCAGCAGCCGCGGUAAUACGGAGGGUGCGAGCGUUAAUCGGAAUUACUGGGCGUAAAGCGCGUGUAGGUGGCUUGAUAAGCCGGUUGUGAAAGCCCCGGGCUCAACCUGGGAACGGCAUCCGGAACUGUCAAGCUAGAGUGCAGGAGAGGAAGGUAGAAUUCCCGGUGUAGCGGUGAAAUGCGUAGAGAUCGGGAGGAAUACCAGUGGCGAAGGCGGCCUUCUGGACUGACACUGACACUGAGGUGCGAAAGCGUGGGUAGCAAACAGGAUUAGAUACCCUUGUAGUC